rnacentral:rRNA from 1 species
UUUUGACGGAAGAACCUCCCACCCUUGACAUCCCGAUGGGAAUACGAGAGAUGUAUCCUUCAGUUAGGUGGAUCGGUGACAGGUGCUGCAUGGCUGUCGUCAGCUCGUGUCGUGAGAUGUUGGGUUAAGUCCCGCAACGAGCGCGACCCUCGCCCUUAGUUGCCAUCAUUCAGUUGGGCACUCUAAGGGGACUGCCGGUGAUAAGCCGAGAGGGAGGUGGGGAUGACGUCAAGUCCUCAUGGCCCCUACGGGCUGGGCUACACACGUGCUACAAUGGUGGUGACAGUGGGGAGCGAGACCGCGAGGUCUAGCUAAUCUUCAAAACCAUCUCAGUUCUGAAUGCACUCUGCAACUCGAGUGCAUGAAGUUGGAAUCGCUAGUAAUCGUGGAUCAGAAUGCCACGGUGAAUACGUUCCCCGGUCUUGUACACACACACAAAAAAA